rnacentral:pre_miRNA from 1 species
CAAAUACAGCGAUGAAGAUGAUGUAAUUAUCAACUUUCUUGUGUGGUUAAAUAUAACCACACAAGAAAGUUGAUAAUUACAUCAUCUUCAUAUAUU